AGUGGCGGACGGGUGAGUAACGCGUGGGUAACCUGCCUCAUACAGGGGGAUAACAGUUGGAAACGGCUGCUGAUACCGCAUAAGCGCACAGUACCGCAUGGUACGGUGUGAAAAACUCCGGUGGUAUGAGAUGGACCCGCGUCUGAUUAGGUAGUUGGUGGGGUAACGGCCUACCAAGCCGACGAUCAGUAGCCGACCUGAGAGGGUGACCGGCCACAUUGGGACUGAGACACGGCCCAA
rnacentral:rRNA from 1 species